UUUAACCUCUGGGACAGAAAUUAAUAUUGGCUAUUGUGGCUGACCUCAAUAGGUUAUUUCUGUAUUCUAAAUUACAGGCAUUUCAGAAAUGUAAACAUAAAGCUCAUGAAGUUUGACUGGCACUAUUGGCUUUGUUUCAUUGUUGCCCAUGGAUUUCAUGCAUCCUGCCCACUCCUCUGAAUGCGAUAGGCAGGCAAAUACUUAACAGGAAACAGAUGAACAAGUUCAACUGAAAGCUGAGAAUAUGUUCUAAAUUUACAGAAAGGCAGCACUGCAGCACAGUCUUCUCUCACACAUUGGAGCCAGGGAGAGGAUGCCAUGUGAAGGUCUCUGGAAGACAGAUUGUGACAGCAACUGCUAAGCCUUUAACACAAAGCAGGUGGUCAAACCAGAGUGUAAAAGGGCUGCCAAGACUUCCAACAAAUAAUAGCCACAACAUUUUUCAGCUAAAUCCAUUUGUAUUUUAUUUUCAUACAGACAACUGGAUCAAAACUAAAUUUAUUUGCUGAACAGCAGUCAACAAGCAACUUUAUGUUUUAAUUAUGCCUGAUAAAUAGAAAUAACUAUCAACUUUAGCUUAACUAUAAUUUGUUAGUUCUGACUCAUGGCACAAUAGAACAGUGCUUGUGCAUAUGUGCAUUUAUGUGCUUGUCUGACUACAGAUAAAUCAUUUUUCUAAGACUCAAAACAGCCCUAAACAUACAAGGAGUAUGAAUAUAUUUUACAGGUGAAGCUUCCCCUACUUCUUCUAAUUGUUUUUCAGAAUUGUUGUGGGAAGCCUCUUCAGCAAAUCUGAAAAUCUCCAAAUUCUCAUUGACAUUAUUUAAAAGGCAGUCUCCAGUUUAAGAAACCAUCACGUUAUAUAAACACAUCACAUUUCUUGAGGCAGAAUUGAUUUUCUGAAUUGUUUAACCAGUGUUUCUUGAUCUUCAUAGUUUUCAGAUAGGUUAGCUGACUGGGGAAUUCUGGGAGUUGAAGUCUACCCAUCAGAAAGCUCCAAAGUUGACAUACAACAACUUAAGAAGACUGAGGAAAUGUUCAAACUUAGGCACCUGUUUCACACUGAUAAUGAAUUCUUCAUCCAAGUCAAAGAAAAAAUAUACAGCUACUAAGAUGGAAGACAAUUAUUUUAUUAUUGAGUGGAACAAGUUUUUUAAAAAGGCUUUACUUCUUCCACACAACUAGAAAAUUAUUCACAGGUCACUUGCCAGUCAACCAACCAACCAACCAACCAACCAACCAACCAACCAAUCUAUUACAGUUCAUGUAAAGGAACAAAACAUAACUUAUUAUGAAGAUGAAGAUUAAGCCGAGUAUAGGUUGGAAGCCACAAAGCUCUCUUGUGAAGGGAAAGAGGAUUCCUUCCCAACAGACAACCUUCUCUGAAUUUUCUGGCAGUCAGUCAAAGUUAGUAACAAUCCUAAUUGUAAUAAAGAGUGCAAAAGCCAAGGAGAGGGAGAAUAAGGGACAUCUUAAGCUGUUGAGGAGAAUGUUUCCCUUUAAAAAAAACCAAAACCCUACUACCCAACAUUUACUUUCAUUUUUCCAAAAGGAAUAAAGGUGGUAAUGGAAGAGAGCAGAGCUAGUGUCUUAGUUUUCAUUCUCAUCACCAGAAAUGUUCAACAUAAGAAUAAUGCUUUGAAAGUUUUUAACUAGCGAUCUUUGGUUCCUGAAUAAGGGACUGACCUGGGGUACUUAGCCUUUUUUAUAAUUCCUAAUUCCUCUCCUAUCAAAUUAUCUCUUCCUUCCUUCCUUCCU